rnacentral:tRNA from 1 species
GCUGUGGUCGUUCAGUGGCAGAAUUCUUGCCUGCUGUGUGGGAGACCCAGGUUCAAUUCCUGGCCAGUGGCA